UUUUGGGUUUAUGAGAUUAUUUAAAGUAACAGCAGCUCCUCUAAAUCUCAAAGGCUGUGCUAAAUCAUGAGGUUACAUAAAAAUAUAUAUAUGGCUGUGUUAAGACCAUCCGUACACCUGGUUCCACCUCCCGCCUGUAUACGGAUUUGAAUCCAAAAAGCUCUCAGUAUUUCUACGAUUUAUCUUCAGUUCCUGAAACCAGCAUUGCACAGUAGCAUUGUACGCAUUAGGCGGGAGAGUCGCCGAGCGUCCCUGUGCUGACGCUUGGCUUAAACAGCGUAUCCUCCAGGUGAGCUACGCAAUCCCUGAACGCCAAUAGGCUGUGUCAAGUGUCAAUCAUAGAAAACAUGAACCCCCUAAUAACUUUUAAAAGUGGAGCUGUACAGAAAAAAGAGGACGAGCACAAACUAGUCUGGCUGUAACUACAACUUGUAUUCUGUGUAAUAAAUUUCUUAAGUUUGUCCACAGCUCCAUAAACUUUGCUGGCGGAGGCAGGAUUUAUGACCUUUACUGCAGCCCGUCAACAGAGGGUGCUGUUCUCGCAGUGGCUUCACCCAGCGAGGAGGCAGACAGCGUCCAUUCUAUAUGCAGUCUAUGGUUAAGACCAGUGGAAAUCAAGAUAAGGACAAAAAAUCUGCACA